AGAGAGAGACAUGCGCGCAUAUCAAUAAGCGGAGGAAAAGAAACUAACUAGGAUCCCCUCAGUAACGGCGAGUGAAGCGGGAAGAGCUCAAAUUUGAAAUCUUCAAGGUUCUACCUUGACGAAUUGUAGUUUAAAGAAGUGUUUUCUGUUGGAGUUUUGGUAAAAGUUCUUUGGAAUAGGACAUCAUAGAGGGUGAGAAUCCCGUAUUUGACCAUUAUUUUCAGCUGUGUGAUACACUUUCAAAGAGUCGGAUUGUUUGGGAAUGCAGUCCAAAAUGGGUGGUAAAUUUCAUCUAAAGCUAAAUAUUGGCGAGAGACCGAUAGCGAACAAGUACCGUGAGGGAAAGAUGAAAAGAACUUUGAAAAGAGAGUUAAACAGUACGUGAAAUUGUCAAAAGGGAAGCGUUUGACACCAGUGUUGUUUUCUCGAAAAUCAAUUAAAAAAGGCAGGAUUUUGUGUUGUAUUGACUUUAUCAGCUUUCUGCACUCUUUUCUUGUCUUUUUUAAUGCACUUUUCGUUUAACAAGUCAACAUCAAUUUCUUUUGUUGUAAAAGGGUCAUUGGAAGGUGGCUUUCUUUUCGGAGAAAGUGUUUAUAGCCUUUGGCCUCUGCAAUCGGAGAGAUUGAGGUCUGCAGCGUAGAUCCUUCGGGGUUAGAUACAUUUGUGCUAAGUUAUAGCCUUUCAUAGACAACUUGUUGACUAUGAUCAGUCAUGUAGCUUACUCGCUUAUGCUAUUUUACCUACGCUUAGGAUGUUGAUGUGAUACUGCGAGCA
rnacentral:rRNA from 1 species